CUACAUUAGUAGAGGUUUAUAUUAAGGGCAAGCUUAUGGUACCAAUUGCAUGCAUGUGACUUCUUUUGUGAGGGUGAGUGAUUUCUUUGAUAUAUGUGAACAUACGAUUCGAAUGUGUGGAUUGAUUUUAAUUUUCGUUGUUGUGAUUGUGAGGGCAUAUGUUUUGGGAAGGAAAAACAAUUCUUAGAUUUCUGUGUUGAGUACUUUGAGGAAGUAUGAAUAUUGCAUGGCAUUUGAGAGUCGACCUUUGAAGCUAGGAAUGUUCACUGCUAGGCGUAAUGUAUGUAAAUUGUUCUGGGUGUAAUGCGUUAGGGGAAAUGGUUGAGGGAGAAACUUCCAGAGAGUAUAGUUUGAUUGUUCGAAGACUAGCAAUGAAUUAAGUG
rnacentral:lncRNA from 1 species